rfam:Aedes albopictus isolate Foshan contig143882, whole genome shotgun sequence.
CUCCAGUUAGCCUAGUGGUUAAGGUUAUGGAUCACUAAUCCGGAGACGGCGGGUUCGAUUCCCGUUCGGGAAA